GGCUUGAUGAUUAAUAAUUUUAAGUCAAUCUGCCCAAUGAUUAAUAUUUAAUGGCUGCAGUAUAUCUGACUGUACAAAGGUAGCAUAAUCGAUUGUUUUUUAAUUGGAAACUGGAAUGAAAGAAUUAAUGAGAUAUAUACUGUCUCAUAUAUAUUUAAUGAAUUUAAAUUUUUAGUAAAAAUGCUUAAAUAUAUUUAUGGGACGAUAAGACCCUAUAGAAUUUUAUAUUAAUUUAUAGAUAAUAUAAUAAAUUAUUAUAUAAAUUAAUAUUUAGUUGGGAGGAUUGGUAAAUUUAUAAAACUUUAUUUUUUAUUUAAACUUUGAUUUAAGAAUUAAUAAUGUUCUUGUAUUAUAAAUUAUAAGAUUAAAUUACCUUAGGGAUAACAGCGUAAUAUCUUUUGAAAGAUCAAAUUUAUAAAGAUGUUUGCGACCUCGAUGUUGAAUUAAGAUAAAUUUUAAAUGCAGAAGUUUAAUAAUUAAGUCUGUUCGACUUUUAAAAUCUU
rnacentral:rRNA from 1 species